AGCUGAUAGGCGCAACGGUAGCGCGCGAGGUUAGAGACCUCGAGGAGCAGGUUCAACUCCUGCAUCAGCAA
rfam:Neurospora tetrasperma FGSC 2509 unplaced genomic scaffold NETTE2scaffold_5, whole genome shotgun sequence.